AUUUCUAACAGGCAAGCAAAAGAAGCGCCAAUUUCAUUUGGUUUCAUCAUCGGACAUUUGUUUUGUUUCAACCUCAUUUGUCAGCAAAGAUAACAUCUUUCAGUCAACUUUUUAGUCAUUUUGCUUUUAUUCAUGAAUGUUGUUUCUUUUAAUGCCUUUUUGCUUUCUUUGGGUAAUUCAAAUUUUAAAUAAGUCUGAGUUCAAGAGAAGGAUUUAAGCCUAAUCAUUGGAUCAAACAGAACUCAUUGUUGGUGCAUUUUUAUCUUGAUUUUUGUUUUUGCAGUUUUCUUUGGUUUUUCUUCAAACACUCCUCACUCCAAACACAAUGAUGACAAUGCAUUCGGAUUACUCCAUUGAUUAGAAUGAUUGAUAGGAAAUUGACACUUGUCUUGGAUUCCUCUGGCAAAUAUUCAUCAAAAUAAGACAAGUGAACGUUCCCAUUGAGUAAGCUGAUAUCUUGGUGGUGAUACAUGAAGGACAGUUCAAUAUUAUCGAUUCCUAAAUGUCUACAUUGGUUCCCCGAAAAUCAUUGAGCCUUUGAUGUUUAUAUUUCUUUAAAUGAAUCUUAUUUUUAUUUUUCUCACUUUCACUUGCUUUUAUCUUAUCAUUCUUGAGCGACGUCUCAUUCACCAAAAUGAUUUGGCUGAAUAGUGCUGAGGACAUCUCUGGACUGACCAAUAUCAACCCAAUGAAUUGUAACCUUGAUCAUGGCGUCUCCAGUUAGAUUAUUUGAUGUUUGCUGGACAAAGUCAAGCUGAACCCAAAAUACAUCUCCAGAGGCUCUUUAAAAGAAGGACUGAAAAGAUGAAUCAAGGAAACGAAUGAUGAUAAAGAGGAAGAUAAUGAAGAUGAUUAUUAUGAUAUGUGUACAAGAACGUUGAAACAAGGAGUAAAAGCAAAUAAUUUUAGUGUUACUUUUAUAUUUUCUUGCUCUUUAAAUGGUUUCAACAAAGUGACAAAAUGGAUAAAAGGAUAUUGAUAUCAAUUUAAGGAAGAUGAUCCCUUUUCAAAUGAUCAUAAUAGUGUGUCAUAAAUAUCGAUUGAAAUUUACUGUUUCAAAAGAUUCUCAUGUUGUUACUAUUUUACUUUCAUCUCUUCCUUUCCAUCUUCACAGAACAGAGUAAAAUCAAUCCAAUUGAUUACCAAUGUGAGGUUUUCCUUUCUUCUUCUUCUUCUUCUUCUUCUUCCCAUCUACUCAUCUCAUUUCAUCUCAUUUUAGUUUACUUUUUUUCUUCUUUGUUUUCUUCUAAUACAAUUUAAAGAAUUGAGUUUAAAAAGAAAUUCAUAUAAUAAUUGAAAUGAAACUAAGUUUUACCUCAAUUGAAUGGUAUUAAUUCAGAAGCUUUAACCAUUUCCCAUCUUCCAUCUUCCCUUUCUCUAUCUAAGCUUUCAAUUCAGAACUUUGCUUUCAAGUUUCCUAAACUCAUUCUCUAUCAUAAUUAUAAUCAUCAUCACCAACAUAAAGCCGAUUCUUUAUCAAGUUGGAAAUUGCCAUUAUCGAUUCAUUCUCGAUACAAUUGUUACUUUAAAGGCUGACUGGCAGAAUAUCAUAUUCAAUUUGACUAAUUGGUUUGGCCAUUCAUACAACUAUAUAAUUAAUACAAGUACCUCUCAUCCUAUUGGGAAUCAUCAAGAUAAUAACUUUUCACCUCGAAUCAACCAUCAGUGGCCUUUAUUAAUGGACAUAAUAGCAACUCAUUGUUUCGCCAAUUUUUCAAACCCAAAAAUAUCUUCAAUGGUGGCUUCAUCUUAUCAAGUUACAAUGGACCGAGCAGCUUCAAUAGCUUUUUACAAAGAGAUCGCUUCAAGCUUAUUGAUGGACACAAAAGGCUAUUUUAACUAAUGACCAUCAAAUUUAACCUUCAUGGAUUGUCGCAAUUAAAUAUAGCAAAUAUCCAAUACAAUGUAAUUGCUAUGGAAACUCUUGUCAGGUGAAAAGCUGCCAAUAUCAACAUGAUUGUUGAUAUUAUUAAUGCAUCACCAUCAUGCAAUCAACAUUUGUUUUUGUCAGUUUUCAAUUGCUAUUCAAUCGUAUUAAUUGUAAAAACAUUUCCAAGUCCAAUGUCGAUGUUAGCAAAUGUAACUAAUGUCAAUAUUUAUUGGCAUUGAUUCCCAUUUCCAAUGAUAUUAAUAGUUAAAUGUUGCGCAUUAAUUUUCAUUGAACCAACAUGAAGAAAUCCAUUGAAUUAUCAUUAUUUAAUGUAACCCUUUUUAUACACCAGACAACAACAAGCCUUACAUUAACAUUUGAAAUUGUUGUUAAAUGACAUUUUUGUCUCACCAUUGGAUUACAAUCUGUAACUUCAUCGAUAACCUGAUUGAUUAAACAUUUAUUUUGAUUGUAACAUUCA